AGCCAGACUCCUACGGGAGGCAGCAGUGAGGAAUAUUGGUCAAUGGCCGAGAGGCUGAACCAGCCAAGUCGCGUGAGGGAAGAAUGUCCUAUGGAUUGUAAACCUCUUUUGUCAGGGAGCAAAGUCACCCACGUGUGGGUGUUGGAGAGUACCUGAAGAAAAAGCAUCGGCUAACUCCGUGCCAGCAGCCGCGGUAAUACGGAGGAUGCGAGCGUUAUCCGGAUUUAUUGGGUUUAAAGGGUGCGUAGGCGGAAUGCCAAGUCAGCGGUAAAAUCGCGGGGCUCAACCUCGCUCCGCCGUUGAAACUGGCGUUCUUGAGUGGGCGAGAAGUAUGCGGAAUGCGUGGUGUAGCGGUGAAAUGCAUAGAUAUUAGGAGGAACACCAGUGGCGAAGGCGACUUUCUGGACAGUAACUGACGUUGAGGCACGAAAGUGUGGGGAGCAAACAGGAUUAGAUACCCGCGUA
rnacentral:rRNA from 1 species